UUGAGCUGCGUCUAUGUCUCUGGAGUCUGUAUGCUUAAUCUCAACUUUGUAGCUUUUACUCUACGAGAAACGGGUAUAAAAAAUGAGCUUAUUAUAUGCAUAACAGACCAAACCAUUGGUGUUUAAAGUUUCAUUUUUAAAUGCAUAUGUAUGUAUGUAUCUGUAACAUCUGACUUUAUGUCACCUAUUUAAAAAAAACCGGUCUAGAGUGUCAAUGAUUUUUCGACAAUUAUACGUUUAAUUUUUAUUAUACGUGAUAUAUGUACAGUGCCUCUCAACUAAAUAUGUUUGACUUUUUUCAAAUCAUGAUUUUGUUCUCCAUAAAGGGAAUUCCGAUUUAAAUAAAUUUUGUUGUAUAAAGAAUACUGUUAUUUUUGAAAUAGCAAAGUUUUGGUUCUGUCAGUUUUGUUUUUAUUAUUUUUUCAAAAACAUAAAACAAAAUGUUCUUUGUAUUUGGCUCAACUGAAUAGGUUUUACACUUUUGACUUCUCUUAUUGUUUAACCGUGGAUUGAAAAGAGUUGAAUUCUAUAAUAUUCUAUUCUAUAAUUUAAGGCAUUUAUUCGGGCAAGCUCCGGUAAUCGAAUUCGUAAGAAUUUUACGAUUUGUAAAACGGGCACUUCUGCCUGGUUAUCCCAAAGGUGCCAUACUGUUGGUGCAACGAAACAGGCACGUAAAAAUACUUAUAAUUUAAUUACUUAAAUGCUUAAAGUGCAGUAAAAAAGUAAUUGCAAACAUCGGAAUUAAAACUGUGAAAAAGGUGGCAGCUCUAGAUUUUCUCAAGCCCUCCAAUUUCUGCCUUCUCCUGGCUUCAAAACAAACAAUCGGAAACAUAAAAGGCAUUUUUUCACGUGUUUUAGCAGCAAGAAGCGAUGAGAAACGAAACAUUUUGAUAGCAAAAAUUUCGCCCAAAUCGAAAAAAAACGAAUUUGUAGCAUGCCUGAUAAACUUUAAUCAAUUUUAAAAAAGUUCUGUCCAACAUCCGAAAGCUUACGCUUCGACAAUAAAACAUUGCUUCGGCUAUAGCCGCCAGCGAUUAGGGAGAAAAGUAUGUAGCUCCCCAACAUAACCAUCCUAAGAAGACUUGACUAUAACCAAGUUGCUUUUGCACUGCAAGGAAUCACGGACAACCGCUAACGCCGCUGGAUCACA